rnacentral:tRNA from 6 species
GGGUGAGUGGCGAAAUUGGCAUACGCACUAGCCUUAGGAGCUAGCGGGGCGACCCAUGGAGGUUCGAGUCCUCUCUCACCCA